rnacentral:rRNA from 1 species
AACGAACGCUGGCGGCAUGCCUAACACAUGCAAGUCGAACGAGACCUUCGGGUCUAGUGGCGCACGGGUGCGUAACGCGUGGGAACCUGCCCUUAGGUUCGGAAUAACUCCCCGAAAGGGGUGCUAAUACCGGAUAAUGUCUUCGGACCAAAGAUUUAUCGCCUUUGGAUGGGCCGGCGUUGGAUUAGCUAGUUGGUAGGGUAAAAGCCUACCAAGGCGACGAUCCAUAGCUGGUCUGAGAGGAUGAUCAGCCACACUGGGACUGAGACACGGCCCAGACUCCUACGGGAGGCAGCAGUGGGGAAUAUUGGACGAUGGGCGAAAGCCUGAUCCAGCAAUGCCGCGUGAGUGAUGAAGGCCUUAGGGUUGUAAAGCUCUUUUACCCGGGAUGAUAAUGACAGUACCGGGAGAAUAAGCUCCGGCUAACUCCGUG